UCAAUAUGCGUUAAACUUGAACCAAGCGGGCGACAUUCGGAGGCACGUCUGUCUCGACUUUCUAGAACUCUCUCUCUCUCCCAACUCAAUCCGCCGUUGAUCCCAAUUGGUUUAGAUCGCAUCUUCAGCCCUCCCGUUCCCGAGGAGAGAUCUUCCACCUGAAAGCAAUGUGAUCGUCGAUCGUCUUCUUUUCAAAGCAUCAGAGCAACGAGAUUGCAUUAUUUGUGCUGCGUUUGUCGUGUUCGUCCGUUGGAUUAUCACUCUCUUGGAUGUGAAAUGGACGGUAUUCAUGCGAGCGAUGGACGGAUGCAUAUGAGUCAUGCACAGCAUUCGAUGCACACACAAUCUGUGCAAGAACAGGAACAUCAUGACUUGCAUUACAUGAGUAAUGGGAAUGGAAUGGCCGAUGAGCAUGAAAAUGAAGGUCACGGUAUCAUGGUUGUGGAAAGGGAAGCUCCAUCCGACCAUGGUGAUCUUGCCGAGAAUCGUGGUGUAAUGGUGGAUCGAGGAGGCGAUAACUGCGAUCAGCUUACCCUGUCAUAUCAGGGUCAAGUUUAUGUUUUCGAUUCUGUCUCGCCCGAAAAGGUUCAAGCCGUGUUAUUAUUAUUGGGAGGUCGCGAAGUACCUUUGCGUGUUCCCUCAAUCCCAAUAACUAAUCAACCAAAUGAUAGGCAUCUCACUGAUGAAGCAUUUAACCAGGCACUUGCCAUCCCCCCACGUCUAAGUGUCCCUCAGAGAUUAGCUUCUUUGAUUAGAUUUCGUGAAAAGCGAAAGGAACGUAAUUUUGACAAGAAAAUUCGGUAUACAGUUCGUAAAGAGGUAGCACUUAGGAUGCAGCGUAAUAAAGGUCAGUUCACAUCUUCCAAACCCAUUCAGGAAGAUUCAUUAUCGGCCACAACAAGUUGGGAAUCAAAUGAGACUUGGUGUUCUGAUGGAAAUGGAUCCCAUCAACAAGAAAUUCUCUGUCGACAUUGUGGUAUUAGUGAGAAGUCUACACCAAUGAUGCGACGUGGACCUGAUGGGCCAAGAACCCUUUGCAAUGCCUGUGGACUCAUGUGGGCAAACAAGGUAUAUUUCUUCUGUAUUGGUCAGAGUUCAGUAUGACUCUGAAAAUGAUAUGCUGCAUUUAGCUGCUCUGAUUUCCGUUCUAGAAAUUCUUUUCCUGAAGACUGUUAGGUAGUGAACAGCCCGUUCUUAUAUUUUAGUUUCCGUUUCUUCUAAAUUGCGUUGCUGACUGCAAGGGAACUCUGCGGGACCUCUCAAAAGCACCAAACCAGGGUGGACAAGCUUCAAGCUUCAACAGGAAUGAGAAUGUUGUGCAGAAUGGAGAUUCUGAGUCCAAUCCAAAAAGUGCAUAGGAAUUGUGACAGGUGUUUAUGAUUGCUGUUUCGAAAUUUAGCAAAAUCAUACAAGCUUAAUUUCUCCCACAGAUUAGUUUGAAACGGAUUAAAAACUUCUCAUCGAUGGCUAUGAAUCAUGAAUCCCAUCCAUCGACAGAGACCCUUGUGGCCAAUUCAUCUUGGAAACGACGGUAUCGUGGACGUGUACUAAUUUAAUAGCUCUUCUUAUCAUAUUGUGAACCAUUUCAACAUGUCAAAAUUCCUAGAAUCUUGUAAAUUAGCAUUUGCUGCGCUUGUACAAUGGCAUGGUCAUUUUAAUCCAUUUCAUUUUUGUCCAGUA